GGAUCCACACAACAGAAGAUAGAAGAGGAAUUGGGGGUUAAGAUAAUAAUACCUACUUCAAAAGAAGAUGAUUUUGUUAGAAGCCAUGGAAUAGACAUAAAGGGGCCAACAAAAUGAGAUUGAGAACGUGCAAUGGAGUGGGGUGGUAGGCAUAAUAUAGCUGGAGUGAAACGAAAGAGAGACAUGAAGGCAUUUCCAAUCAGGGACAGCAGAAGAGCUAUUUGAUCCAAUGUUGCUUGGGGAUUAUACUUUCUAUUUAGUUUAAUUCUAGACUAGGUUUAUGUUUAUAUUUAACCUGAUUCUGAGCAGAUUGUUUUAUACACUUUUAGUGUAUGCUACAGUAUAGAUUCUAUAGGUUUUCUUUUUUUCAGUGGUAUUUGUUUUGAAUUAUAGUUGAUGUAUCAAUACACUUUAUUUAUGUUUUGAAUUAUAUUGACUUA